rnacentral:rRNA from 1 species
AGAGUUUGAUCCUGGCUCAGAACGAACGCUGGCGGCAGGCUUAACACAUGCAAGUCGAGCGCGUAGCAAUACGAGCGGCAGACGGGUGAGUAACGCGUGGGAAUCUACCCAUCACUACGGAACAAACUCCGGGAAACUGGAGCUAAUACCGUAUACGACCGAGAGGUGAAAGAUUUAUCGGUGAUGGAUGAGCCCGCGUUGGAUUAGCUAGUUGGUGGGGUAAAGGCCUACCAAGGCGACGAUCCAUAGCUGGUCUGAGAGGAUGAUCAGCCACAUUGGGACUGAGACACGGACCAAACUCCUACGGGAGGCAGCAGUGGGGAAUAUUGGACAAUGGGCGCAAGCCUGAUCCAGCCAUGCCGCGUGAGUGAUGACGGUCUUAGGAUUGUAAAGCUCUUUCACCGGUGAAGAUAAUGACGGUAACCGGAGAAGAAGCCCCGGCUAACUUCGUG